rnacentral:rRNA from 1 species
UGGGGAAUAUUGGACAAUGGGCGAAAGCCUGAUCCAGCCAUGCCGCGUGUGUGAAGAAGGUCUUCGGAUUGUAAAGCACUUUAAGUUGGGAGGAAGGGCAUUAACCUAAUACGUUAGUGUUUUGACGUUACCGACAGAAUAAGCACCGGCUAACUCUGUGCCAGCAGCCGCGGUAAUACAGAGGGUGCAAGCGUUAAUCGGAAUUACUGGGCGUAAAGCGCGCGUAGGUGGUUUGUUAAGUUGGAUGUGAAAUCCCCGGGCUCAACCUGGGAACUGCAUUCAAAACUGACUGACUAGAGUAUGGUAGAGGGUGGUGGAAUUUCCUGUGUAGAGGUGAAAUGCGUAGAUAUAGGAAGGAACACCAGUGGCGAAGGCGACCACCUGGACUAAUACUGACACUGAGGUGCGAAAGCGUGGGGAGCAAACA